rnacentral:rRNA from 1 species
UACGAAGGGGGCUAGCGUUGCUCGGAAUCACUGGGCGUAAAGGGUGCGUAGGCGGGUCUUUUAAGUCAGGGGUGAAAUCCUGGAGCUCAACUCCAGAACUGCCUUUGAUACUGAGGAUCUUGAGUUCGGGAGAGGUGAGUGGAACUGCGAGUGUAGAGGUGAAAUUCGUAGAUAUUCGCAAGAACACCAGUGGCGAAGGCGGCUCACUGGUCCGAUACUGACGCUGAGGUGCGAAAGCGUGGGGAGCAAACAGG